rnacentral:lncRNA from 1 species
CUCCUCGCCCCUCCCCAGCAAUGGCGCCUUGCUUCCCCUGCGGGGCCAGACCUUCUCCCCGCUUCCCUCUGCGGGCGCGGCCCACCCCCCCAACCCGUAGCACACCCCGCUCCCCCGCGGGUGGCACAGUGCUCCUUAGCCUCUCAGGCUGUCCCCACACAGCCCUAGUCCUCUCCCUGGAGCUGACCUCCGGAGCCUGCGUCUCAGCGCCCAGCGCCCCCUGGAGCAUCUCAGGCUGUGGCAUCGGGGCGGUGGUGCAGAUGAUCUGUGCUGCUCUCACUCUCCUUUGCCCUCCUCGGUCCAGCUGCUUUCUAUGCAGGUCUAGAAAAGAAGCUCCACAGAGCAGUGGCCUUAGAGAGCUGUUCUUCUGGGAUUCCUCGUACCUACCACCUGGUCUGGUGUGUACCGGAAGGGUAGGAAAUAAAUGAGUGUUGAUGCAGGGGAUAUUUUUCUAAAUGUGUGCGUGGAUAUUGUCAAGAAAUGUUUUGAAAGGGGUUCUCUGGUUCACCACCUUUCAGAAAUCCUCUGUGUGAUAUUCUCCUCGUGGCAACAUUCAAUGUUUAUUAGCAUAGUAAGGGCUGUACAGAGUCCUAAAAUAAAAUGAAUGUAACUGCUUAGCAGAGUGGGUUUGAGGCCUGGCAGAAAUGAGCAGCUUGACAAAUAAAUCCUGAAGAAGGUAACGUUGGAGUCAGAAAACCAUAUAGGAGUCAGCAGACUGUGGAAACGUUUGGCGAAAGUGUCUCCCCAUGUUCCCAGUUCCCCACAGAAGACACGAUGGCACAGCUGCAGGUGCUGUUCUGCCUGCUCUGGAAGAGGUCCUUCAGGUCGCUGGAAACUCCAAGUAGGUGUUUUCAAAUCUCUUUUAUCCUAAGCAUGUCACCAUGAAACCUCAGCAUAACUCCCUUGUGCUGGUGCAAAACUACCUUUUGCAAGCUCUGUUGCCUGGAUUUCACACCUGGGUCUGGGUUGAAUUGCUUCCUAUGCCGAUCUCAGGAAGCUACGCAGGAGUGUGAGCAGCCGUCAGAAUCGUGGCGUGCCAUCGGAGCUGCACUGGAAGGAGCAGGUGUAGGACGUGACCAGUUUUCGUGCAUUGUCUUCAAGGACAUGACCGCAGGAGGCAUGGUGGGGCCCUCCAUCAAGCGAACCUUUUACUUGUUUGUUUCAGAUAAACGCUAAUAUCUCAGGGAACUAGUGUUACCUGUCAAUACUUUGGAAACAGUUGGCUAGGCAGUGCAGUGAACUUAUACCCAUUAACGGAAUAUUUUUUACUGGAAAUGUAUUCUGUUAAACCUUGGGUGAAAAUAAUCGACACUAUCUCUUUUUUCACAUAUAUUUUUCUAUCGUGUAAAUAUAUCAUGCGAGUUAACUUGACAUUUUUUUAGGCCAUCCUGACCUAGAAGUAAAAGUUGGAUCACUCUUUAUAAUCUGAGAGAAAGAAACGUUCAAAAUAUACUAAAUUUUGUGUUUCAUUCACUUUUCCUUGUGACAGUGUAAGACUGAGUCCGUUCCUCACUGCCUGUUAUUGAGUUAUAGAAAAGAGAAAAGCUUUCCUUCUUCACUCCCAAACCGGCCUAAAUUUCUGUACUCCCUUAUAAAAUUAGAGAGCCUGUUUUCCUUUACCCAUUUAGGGCAACUUUCCAGACCCACAGGCCAGAGCCUUUGGCUGAAGGUGUCAUUCUGCCCCUCUCCCUGUCGGUGAACGUGACCUGGUAGCAGAGGCAGAGUGCUCUGUUUCCCAGCUUGGAGUCACAAGCAACGGAGGCACAGGAGGGUUUGCAUCAUUCCCGACAACUCCUCCGGAUGGAUGCCGCACGCUCAUUGCUUCAACAAGAGCUGCAGUGAGAAUGUGUCUCAGAUAUUGCCCAUCGCCAAAAGCAUAGGAGGACCCAAGUCAAGGUAGAGCCCACCUCAAAGAGAUGAGAGAUGCCUUUCAAAGAGCGAGGCAGGGCUGUGCUGGGUACUUUUCAUCUUCGCAUCUUGCUGAAGGGUCCAAAUAGAACUGUGUACUUAUUUCAGAGACUCUCUGGGUUCCUGAAAAGAGGGCAAAAUACGAUUCACAACAGUCUCUUUGCAUCACGGCAGAGAUUUUUUUCUUUGAAGACCUCAUGCUCCUUUGUAGUUUAUAUAAAUGUCCAAAAUACAUGUGGUUUCUUUGUCCAUGAAUACAUAGGAAUUCUGACUCUGGUCUCAGCAUGUUUACUUAUUACAUUAUUUCCCAAACGAGGGGUAAAAACUAAAAAUGAAAAGGUCAUCAGGAGCUAGUGGAAAACAAAAUUAGUUCAGAAUAACUCGAGCAGUUCUCCAAUCUAAAGUUCUUUUUUUUUUUUUUAAACUUCCAUUCAAAAGACCCUCAUUCCAAAUCUUCCCCUCUGUAACUCUAGAAAAUGCAACACAGAUGUAUGUACUCAGUGUUACACAGGAAAUGGAUUUUUAAAUUGAUCGUUAUUGGAAUGAGAGAGGAUAAUAGAUAAUAGUAUAGUGAAAUAGAUAAUGUGAACCUAUAUUAUCUUCAUGUUUUGUUUUGAAAGGUAAAGACGUUUCAGUGUUUCCUUUAAUGAAUGGGUUUCAUGUCUGUGUCUUUCAUACAGCAAUUUCCUUAUACCUUUGCAGAGAGUUGAAUAGUGAUAUGAUGAAGGAAUGAAUAUGAUUCUUGUCAUUUUUCUUCGACGAAGCUCAAGCACAGUCCCAAGAUUCUGUUUCUUUAUUACUGUUCCCUGAUGAAACAAUAGCCAUGCAUGUGCCGUCAGCUACUAACUAUAUUAUAAUGAUUUUUAAUUUUGUAACUCAUACCUCCAGGUUGCUCUCGCCUUUAAAUGUUGUCUCCUAUAUUCACCCACUUACCAGAUAAUUUGUACUUAAGACCAUCAAAGGAUAACUCAAACAUAUAUGGAACCCGGUGUGAGCCAAGGUCAACUCCCAAUCAGUGACCUCCCUCCUGUUACAGGUUGAAUGACAAAAUCCACAGGCGCAAGUCCUAACUCCGGCACCUCUCAUGUGAACUUAUUUGAGAGCAGUUACCAUUAGACGUGAUUACAGUGAAUUGCGAUGAGAUCAUGAUGAAGCAGGAUGGUCCCUCAUCCAGUGUUCUGGUGUCCUUAUAAAAAGGGGAAACUGGGGAGGGAAAUCGCAGACGGAAAACAGCCCGUGAAGGUGACGGGCAUAGCGCAUAGUGAAGAAAACAGAUCCGGGAACCAUUCAGCCUGUGUUUGAAUCUAAGUUCUACCACUGAUGAUUUAUGUGACCUUGGGAAAGUUGCCCAGUCUCUUUCUCAAUCUUAUGUACAACCUAAGAGCGAUACUGUUACCCAGCUCCCAGCUCCUCUGGGAUGUUAAGUGCCGACCAGUGUGAGCACGUAGUGCACUAUUUGACUGAAACACGGGAGGUACUCAGUGAAAGUCAGCUACAAUUCUUGGCUGUAACAGUAUCACUUUCCCACAUGUCUCUCCUCUAUUUCGUCAUUCACCCAUACCGCUGUAUUAGUGAGAGAAGUCUCCACUAAAACUGCUGAUAGCCUACGUGCAAAAUAAAACGGGACACUUACUUUGUUCAAUCUUUAUGUUGCUUCAACUUUUUUUUUUUUUUUGGCCACCUCUAUGGCAUAUGGAAGUGCUGGGGCCAGGGGCAGAAUCCCAGCCAGAGCUCUGAC